rnacentral:rRNA from 1 species
UGGGCAACCUGCCCCUCUCUCUGGGAUAACCCCGGGAAACCGGAGCUAAUACCGGAUACUCCGGCUGGAUCGCAUGGUCCGGCCGGGAAAGGUCCGCCGGAGAGGGAUGGGCCCGCGGCCUAUCAGCUUGUUGGUGGGGUAACGGCUCACCAAGGCUACGACGGGUAGCUGGUCUGAGAGGACGACCAGCCACACUGGAACUGAGAUACGGUCCAGACUCCUACGGGAGCA